rnacentral:rRNA from 1 species
GGAGGGUGCAAGCGUUGUUCGGAAUUAUUGGGCGUAAAGAGCGUGUAGGUGGUUGAACAAGUCAGAUGUGAAACUCCCUCGGCUCAACCGAGGAAGUGCAUUUGAAACUGUUCAGCUUGAGUACGGGAGAGGAGAGCGGAAUUCCCGGUGUAGAGGUGAAAUUCGUAGAUAUCGGGAGGAACACCGGUGGCGAAGGCGGUUCUCUGGCCCGAUACUGACGCUGAGACGCGAAAGCGUGGGGAGCAAACAGGAUUAGAUACCCUGGUAGUCCACGCCGUAAACGAUGGGCACUAGGUGUAGGAGGUAUUGAAUCCUUCUGUGCCCGAAGCUAACGCAUUAAGUGCCCCCGCCUGGGGGAGUACGGCCGCAAGGCUA